UACGGGGGGGGCAAGCGUUGUUCGGAAUUACUGGGCGUAAAGGGCUCGUAGGCGGCCAACUAAGUCAGACGUGAAAUCCCUCGGCUUAACCGGGGAACUGCAUCUGAUACUGGGUGGCUUGAGUUCGGGAGAGGGAUGCGGAAUUCCAGGUGUAGCGGUGAAAUGCGUAGAUAUCUGGAGGAAUACCGGUGGCGAAGGCGGCAUCCUGGACCGGCAUUGACGCUGAUGAGCGAAAGCUAGGGGAGCAAACGGG
rnacentral:rRNA from 1 species